rnacentral:rRNA from 1 species
CAAUAGCGUAUAUUAAUGUUGUUGCAGUUAAAAAGCUCGUAGUUGGAUUUCUGACAGAAGCGACCGGUCCGAACCUUUUUAGGUUGGGUACUUUGGUUGUCUUUGGUCAUCCUUGUGGAGAACGUGUGUUGGGCAUUAACUUGUCUCGCAUGGGAUCCACAUCAUUUACUGUGAAAAAAUUAGAGUGUUUAAAGCAGGCAAUCGCUGUGAAUACAUUAGCAUGGAAUAAUAAGAUAGGACUUUAGUAAUAUUUUGUUGGUUUGCAUACUAAGGUAAUGAUUAAGAGGGACAGUUGGGGGUAUUCGUAUUUAAUUGUCAGAGGUGAAAUUCUUGGAUUUAUGAAAGACGAACUACUGCGAAAGCAUUUACCAAGGAUGUUUNCAUUA